rnacentral:misc_RNA from 1 species
GAAAUGCGAUAAGUAAUGUGAAUUACAGAAUUCAGUGAAUCAUCGAAUCUUUGAACGCACCUUGCGCUCCUUGGUAUUCCUUGGAGCAUGCCUGUUUGAGUAUCAUGAAAUCUUCAAAGUAAAUCUUUUGUUAACUCAAUUGGUUUCUACUUUGGUAUUGGAGGUCUUUGCAGCUUCACACCUGCUCCUCUUUGUUCAUUAGCUGGAUCUCAGUGUUAUGCUUGGUUCCACUCGGCGUGAUAAGUUAUCUAUCGCUGAGGACACUGUAAAAGGUGGCCAAGGUAAUUGCAGAUGAACCGCUUCUAAUAGUCCAUUGACUUGGACAAUACUUUUAUGAUCUGAUCUCAAAUCAGGUAGGACUACCCGCUGAACUUAAGC